GCAGGGUGCACGCGGUCUCAUUCUUCAGAAGAAUCGCAGCACCCACUGACUCAAAAAACUCAUUUGUCCAGAGACACUGUCAGCCAUGAGGACUCUUCUCUUCUUCUUUGUUCUACUCUUCCUCUUGGACCAAGUCCCACCAGCCAGAAGUGGUACGGAAAAAUUCAAAAUUGAAGAUAACAGUGCCAAAUGUAUUCGCAAUAACGGUGUAUGUGUAAGACGAUGUGCAGAAGAACAAAUGGAUGUUGGCUACUGUAUGGAACCUUCCAUUCACUGCUGCAUGUAACCUCAGAGAGAUCCAGUCUGAGGGUCACUGUGAACCAGAUAAAGACGAAUCCUGUUUACUAAUGCGAUGUUCGUUAAACCUGGUCUUUGUCUAUCCUCCCUCUGUAAUGAAAAAAAAUAAAACCUCCUCUUCUAGCCA